rnacentral:rRNA from 1 species
AUUGAACGCUGGCGGCGUGCUUAACACAUGCAAGUCGAGCGGCAGCGCGGGAGCAAUCCUGGCGGCGAGCGGCGAACGGGUGAGUAAUGCUUCGGAAUCUGCCCUGUAGUGGGGAAUAACCAGUCGAAAGAUUGGCUAAUACCGCAUACGAACUACGGUUGAAAGCGGGAGAUCGCAAGACCUCGCGCUAUAGGAUGAGCCGAAGUCGGAUUAGCUAGUUGGUGAGGUAACGGCUCACCAAGGCGACGAUCCGUAGCUGGUCUGAGAGGACGACCAGCCACACUGGGACUGGGACACGGCCCAGACUCCUACGGGAGGCAGCAGUGGGGAAUAUUGGACAAGGGGGGCAACCCUGAUCCAGCGACGCCGCGUGUGUGAAGAAGGCCUGCGGGUUGUAAAGCACUUUUAGUGGGGAGGAAAUGCUCGGCGCUAACACCGUCGGGAACUGACUUAACCCAAAGAAAAAGCACCGGCUAACUCUGUGCCAGCCGCCGCCGUAA